rnacentral:rRNA from 1 species
AUUGAACGCUGGCGGCAGGCCUAACACAUGCAAGUCGAGCGGCAGCGGGAAAGUAGCUUGCUACUUUUGCCGGCGAGCGGCGGACGGGUGAGUAAUGCCUGGGGAUCUGCCCAGUCGAGGGGGAUAACUACUGGAAACGGUAGCUAAUACCGCAUACGCCCUACGGGGGAAAACAGGGGACCUUCGGGCCUUGCGCGAUUGGACGAACCCAGGUGGGAUUAGCUAGUUGGUGAGGUAAUGGCUCACCAAGGCGACGAUCCCUAGCUGGUCUGAGAGGAUGAUCAGCCACACUGGAACUGAGACACGGUCCAGACUCCUACGGGAGGCAGCAGUGGGGAAUAUUGCACAAUGGGGGAAACCCUGAUGCAGCCAUGCCGCGUGUGUGAAGAAGGCCUUCGGGUUGUAAAGCACUUUCAGCGAGGAGGAAAGGUUGGUAGCUAAUAACUGCCAGCUGUGACGUUACUCGCAGAAGAAGCACCGGCUAACUCCGUGCCAGCCGCCGCGGUAACAC